rnacentral:rRNA from 1 species
UAUUAUACUUAGUUUAAAUUAAAUUUGAUCUUUGAGUAGUAAUCAGAUAUAAUCUCGAAACUCAAAGAAUUUGGCGGUAUCUAAGUCUAGUUAGAGGAAUUUGUACAGUAAACGAUAGUCCGCGAGUAUCUUGCCCUAUUUUGUAGUUAUUCAGUUUGUAUACCGCCAUUAUUAGAUAAUCUUUUUAGGGAGUUAUUAUAAUUAAGUAAGGUUAAAUAUAUUAGGUCAAGGUGCAGCUAAUAGUAGGGGUGUUAUGAAUUACAAUGGUAUAAGUGGUAAACGGAUUGAUUGAGGAAGGAGCAGUCUUUAAGGUGGAUUUAAUUGUAAGGGGUGUGAAUUAUGCGUGGUCUGAUAGGAGCUCUUGGAUAUGUACAUAUCGCCCGUCGCUA